rnacentral:lncRNA from 1 species
GAUUAGGUAUGGUGGGUAUUAAUGAAGGCGCUAUAUCUGCCGCCGAGGCCGCAUUUGGCGGCAUAAAGGAGAGUGGACUGGGUCGUGAGGGGUCCAGCCACGGAAUUGAAGAAUACACUGAUAUCAAAUAUCUUUGCUUCGGAAAUCUUUAAUCGGUAAAGAAAGAAAAAACAUUAACAUGAAGAUGCGCGACAAAAAUAUAAGAAACAGCAAAGAAGCAACACCGAGUAAAAAAGGGUGAAAAGCAACAACUACAAAGAUAAACCAACAAAACAACUUUAAACACACAACAACUGCAAUGAAACUAACAACAACAACAACGCCCUUGAAACUUAUCAACAACUUCAAACUGUAAUCCCUCUUGAUAUUUUCCAUUUAUAAGGGCUAAAGACUUGAUUUUAUGUGAUCUUCCAUUUAUAGAGGGGUAUGACCGGAUUAACAACCAAAUCUUUCAAACCGUUGUUGAGCACAAAUGCUGAAGUUAUCCUUAAGUUGCUUGUUUCCCAUUUUGGUUUCUCUAAAUAAGUUUAUAGGAAGAGAGAUAAAACUACAGUUUUAAAAAGAGAAAGAUGAUUUUUUUCAUGACGAUAUUUUUUCCGUCAUAUUAAGAUUUAAUGGUUACCGCUGUGAUUCGGGACUGCCACUUCAAAGUACGUUGACAGUUCCCUUUAAACUAUCCCUGCAAAUAUAAUUGUACGGCUCAUCCUCAUUACUAAUUGAUCAAUCUUGGAUAUCAAUUGCCCUACCCUUUAAGUUGUCUAGGAAACAUUUCUAUGAUCAAUGUUAAUCAUUUUAGAUUAUGCAAGCAAUAAGCAUUCACUGUAAUAGAUAUAAAAACUCGAUUAUUUUGUUCUUAAAGAGUUUUCUUAUUUUCCCUUUAAGUUAUCACUGCAAAACCUCAGAUUCUCCCAAUUACCAAUUGGUUAAUUUAUUGAGUAUCAAUUAUGCUACUCUUAAGCUUGUCAACAGAAAUUACAUGUUCUCCUCCAAAGUAUCAUUUUUUAUCUUUUUUAUUUAUGCAAUUGUUAUUCGCAAUGAAAAAUUUAAGCAAACACCGUUUUCUGAUUUUACUUUUAAGUAAUACUUGCAAAUCAAGUUUCACUUUAUUAUCUUAAUACAUUUUUUAAGUAGUAUACAUUCAUAUUUCAUUUUAAUGAAUGAACAGCAAAUAGAGAGAAGAAUGUUCUCCGAUAACAGAGGCAUUUUUUAUGAUUAAUUUGCAUUCCAGGUUUUUUACAUCAUUGUUUUAUAAUUGUUAUUAACAUUAUUUGAUAUUAAAUAUUUACUUAGCAUCAAUA